GCUGGGCAUAGUGGUGUACACCUAUAGUCCCAGCUAUUUGGGAGGCUGAACUAGGAGAAUCAUUUGAUCCCAGGAGUUUGAGGCUAGUUUAGGCAACAUAGUGAAUCCCCAUUUCAA
rnacentral:sRNA from 1 species